AACUGAAGAAAAAUCCAAUUUCAAGGAGUUUUGGGAAGUUCCCUUGCGGUUCACUGAACUCAAAGUCCAUGAAAUGAUCUUAGCAUUUUUUAUUCUCCAUUGUUGAGUUCCAUCAUUUAACAUCCUGUAUAUGUACGCACAAUGUUUUGAACUGAAGGAUAAGUAAUUGGGCACUUCUUUAGAAAAUAUUGUGUAAAAUUGGUACACAUAAAAGAUAUUUGUAUGCAAAAAGUGAUUGUUAGACGCAUUCCAUGGUUCCCUAGAAGGCUAGAAGUAGAACUCUUGUUACUUCCAUUAUUUGUAAAUAUACAUCCACUAUAACAUAGGAUUUCUGGUUAUUAUUUUAAAGACUAUGAUAUUCUAUCAUAGUGUUGAUGUUCUAUAGACUUGUAGUAUCUAAGUAUGAGAUUUGCCAGUGAGUUGACAAAACCUGCCAAAACUGAAGAAUACCUUCCACAGUGGGAGCUUGCGGCUGAAGCGUGACAUAACCGAGUAUGGGGAGUUUGUGCGUAGCUUCAUUGCCCCUGCCAUUGAUGAAAAGUUCGAGUUGUUGGGCAUCAUGGCCAAUGUCUUCAUCGUGGCGCUUGAGAGCCUUUCUACUUUGGUUGAGGGAACCCGAGUAUCCGGAAAGAUGCAUUAAGAUUCAUUCAAGUUAGGGAGGAUUACAAAACAGUAAAGAUUGCGUCUAGGCUCAACACCUUAGUGGCCGAGUCCUAGUUACACUGGAGCACCUGAAAUAUGAAUUGGUGGCUACAGUCAUUUUGAAGUAGGAAACUAUUGGGUUUUGGUGGUAUUUUAGGAAUCAUGAAAUCCUAGCCCAGAAGAAUCCGGUGGGUGUAAUGGACUAAAUCGAUCUGAUAACUCAAUCUGAGCCGGCCAGCCCCUAUUAGUAAACCAUUUUUUAAGGGAGAGUU